NUGAUUUUGUUUAAUUUAUCCAUGUUAGGGUUCAAAGUUAUAUAUUAUUUGUUCAACCAUGUUAGGGUUCAAAGUUAAUUUCUCCAUAUUAGGGUUUAAUUUCUCCAUGUUAGGGUUCAAAGUUAGCUCAACCAUAUUAGGGUUCAAAGUUAUAUAUUAUUUGCAUUUUUUAGGGUUCUUAUUAAUACAUUUAGUCCAAAAUAUUUAGUUUUACCUACUAAUUUGGGGAAAAAAUUGUUUGAAGAGAAGAAACCCUAAGAGUUGCACCUUUAGGAUUAUGUAUUGGAAUUUUAGUUUAUAAAUUAAAAUUUUAGGAUAUGACUUGAACUUUUGUGGAUAUGAGUUGAACCUUUAGGAUAUGAAUUGAGCCUUUAAGAUAUGAAUUGAAAUUUUUGGUUUAUGUAUUGGAAGUUUAGUUUAUAAAUUAAAAUUUUAGGAUAUGAAUUGAACCUUUAGGAUAUGGUUAGACUUUUAGUUUAUGUAUUGAAAUUUUAGUUUAUAAAUUGAAAUUUUAGGAUAUUACUUGAACUUUUGUGGAUAUAGUUGAACCUUUAGGAUAUGAAUUAGACUUUUUAGUUUAUGUAUUGGAAUUUUAGUUUAUAAAUUGAAAUUUUAGGAUUUGACUUGAACUUUUGUGGAUAUGAGUUGAACCUUUAGGAUAUGAAUUGAACCUUUUGAAAUUUUUCGUUUAUGUAUUGGAAGUUUAGUUUAUAAAUUAAAAUUUUAGGAUAUGAAUUGAACCUUGUUGAUAUGAAUUGAACCUUUAGGAUAUGAGUUGGACUUUUAGUUU
rnacentral:lncRNA from 1 species